rnacentral:rRNA from 1 species
GACGAACGCUGGCGGCGUGCCUAAUACAUGCAAGUUGAGCGCUGAAGGGUGUGUCUUGUACCGACUGGAUGAGCAGCUAAUGGGUGAGUAACGCGUGGGGAAUCUGCCGUGGAUCGGGGGAUAACUGUUGGAAACGAAUGCUAAUACCGCAUAAAAUGUGGUAACACAAGUUUUAAGUUUGAAAGAGUGAGUUUGUUCACGCAAAGGUGUGCUUGCGUUGUAUUAGCUAGUUGGUGAGGUAAAGGCUCACCAAGGCGAUGAUACAUAGCCGACCUGAGAGGGUGAUCGGCCACAUUGGGACUGAGACACGGCCCAAACUCCUACGGGAGGCACCAGUAGGGCACAUUCGGCAAUGGACGAAAGUCUGACCGAGCAACGCCGCGUGAGUAAAGAAGGUAGUCGGAUCGUAAAACUCUGUUGGUAGAGAAGAACAAAAAAGAGAGUGGAAAGCUCAUCAAGUGACGGUAACUACCCAGAAAGGGACGGCUAACUACGUG